ACGUCAAAGAUUGGCAUUGCCACCAAUUGGCUGACGACAAGACGCUCAUGUUCCUCCAAGGAAGAUAGUGCAUUAAUUCUCAACGCAUAAAAAGAAGAUUUGCUGAUGGGGCAUGGUGAUUAAGAUUCUUGAUUGAUCCAAUACCAGUGCAAAAAUCACUUGAUGCCCUAACAGACCAGUAGAAGACAUCUUAAAUGGAGAAGAGGCCCUCCCCAAAAAAAAAAACAGACAAAUUGUUCCUCCACUCAUUCAUGCGAUGGGCUUCCAGAAGUGCCUCUCUCCAAUUUUUCAGUGCCACGCCCCAAAGAAAAGUACUAUGUUCUACUUGUCAUGGAAUGAGAGAGGAAAUUGGUUCUUGUUUGUCCAUGAAAACAAAGCAAAGCAAAGCAAAAUCUAGCUUUGGAACCACUAUACCUUUCACUCUUUUGGAUCGAUUCACCUCAUACUCCACCACCACAACUGGUCCUUGUGGUAUUUGUAUGGAAGAUUGUAAAGCCGACACCAAUUCAAUGUUUCUCUGCUUUUAUCUUUA